rnacentral:rRNA from 1 species
AGUGAACGCUGGCGGUAGGCCUAACACAUACGAGUCGAACGGCAGCACAGUAAGAGCUUGCUCUUACGGGUGGCGAGUGGCGGACGGGUGAGGAAUACAUCGGAAUCUACUUUUUCGUGGGGGAUAACGUAGGGAGACUUACGCUAAUACCGCAUACGACCUACGGGUGAAAGCAGGGGAUCUUCGGACCUUGCGCGAUUGAAUGAGCCGAUGUCGGAUUAGCUAGUUGGCGGGGUAAAGGCCCACCAAGGCGACGAUCCGUAGCUGGUCUGAGAGGAUGAUCAGCCACACUGGAACUGAGACACGGUCCAGACUCCUACGGGAGGCAGCAGUGGGGAAUAUUGGACAAUGGGCGCAAGCCUGAUCCAGCCAUACCGCGUGGGUGAAGAAGGCCUUCGGGUUGUAAAGCCCUUUUGUUGGGAAAGAAAAGCAGCAGGUUAAUACCCCGCUGUUCUGACGGUACCCAAAGAAUAAGCACCGGCUAACUUCGUG